rnacentral:rRNA from 1 species
UACGGAGGAUGCGAGCGUUAUCCGGAUUUAUUGGGUUUAAAGGGUGCGUAGGCGGGCUUUUAAGUCAGCGGUAAAAAUUCGGGGCUCAACCCCGUCCGGCCGUUGAAACUGGGGGUCUUGAGUUGGCGAGAAGAAGGCGGAAUGCGUGGUGUAGCGGUGAAAUGCAUAGAUAUCACGCAGAACCCCGAUUGCGAAGGCAGCCUUCCGGCGCCCUACUGACGCUGAGGCACGAAAGUGCGGGGAUCGAACAGG